UUCGUGUUUUUUUUUAUUGUUUUUUAUCUAUAAUUAUCGCUCAACCGGUUCCCAUUUUAAACCCACCGUUUUUUUCCCAAAACCGCUUCCACCACACCACGUUCUGAGCAUGAGUUCCUUUCUGAACCGCCGUCGGCGCCACUGCCAGACUGCGCAUGAGCACGGAGAGCCGCCAUCUCACCGGUGUGCCGGCCAGCUGAUCGGAAGUUAUGGUCUUGUACCUUCUGUCCAAGCGAGAGAGAGAGCGCCGAAUGUUUUGUUUUUUCACCAGCUUCCAUGCGUGUUCCGUGCGUUGAUACCGACAGGACUCGCUCUUUUCCAGUGAGUUACCACGGUCGGGAUCGUCGGGACCGUGGAUCGGGAGGAGGACCGCCGUCGGAACCAGUUCACAUGCAACCGUCGACCGAAUCGGAACGCCUUUUGGACGGAACUCUGGCCGCGGUCCGGACCUUUGAAAGAGCGCGCGUGUGUUGUUACGGAUUUCUUUUUCUUUUGGUGAAUUAAAGCUGAACGGAGGGAGGAACAGCCGCUGGACCCGGGAUUAGCGGGAAAGGGGUGGCCACGGGGCCCCGUUAUUUUGACGGACGCGGGACGUCGACGGCGACGACGCAGGAGGAAUGAAGGAAGACGGUGGUGGCAUUCCGAACAAGGAAGAGGUUCAAGUGAUGGAACGUUGAAGAGUUCCGGGGUGAUGGGCAGGCCGGAACCUGGUCCGAACCGGGUGGCCGCGGUGGUGUUCCGAGUGUUCUGCGGAGUUCUGGAUGUUGAAUAAUCAAGUGGUAUCAAAAAUUUAUCAACAAAUUCUGCACGGAUCUCGCCACAUGGAGUUCCGACUCCGGGAGCAGGUCGUCGGAGACCAACGGGAGGGCGCUCCCUUUAGCAGAGUCGAUUCUUUGCCGGGGUCGCGGCGGUAAACCGCGUGGCUAAAUAUAGCUAGCGCGCCGAAAGUUUUUUUUUUUGUUCUUUCCUCUUUUUUUUCUGACAAUACACAAUACUCUCAUUCUUCGGCCGCGCAAAAAUCACGAUAAUGAUGAUGAUGACGUGUGAGUGAGACAAAGAAGGUUGGGAGUCUACGGAAUAGUGUGUAGUGCAGUGUGGGUGGUGGGAGUGAAGGAGGAAGAACCACUUGUUGUUGGUGGUGAGGUUUAGGACUUUUUUCGGGUUGAUUGUUAUUGAUUAAAGGGAGAGUGAGUCCUAAACCAAAAAGGAAAGGAAAAAACGGCUCUUGAGGUUGAGUCUCUGUUUCGUACGUGCGUAGGGGGGAUUGCUCCCGGGGAGGACGUGGCGUGGUUGAGGGCCCCCUCUUGUAUUUUUCUUGAAACUGUGGCCGACUAAAAGAUCGGCUGUGACCAGCAGACCGGAAGUAUCUAGGCGUGCACGGGAAGGUUGAGGAUUUUUUAACGACUUCCCAGCUGGAAGCGAAACUGAACGUGGAAGUGCAGAACAAGGACAAACCAGGGUCCAGGUGUUGUCGUUUUUCGGUGGCGGGGAGGAAAAAUGGCCACCGAGCAGACUUACACCUGGUGGCAACAGCAGCAGCGGGGUGACAAAGCUGAUGACGAUGUGAACUAAGUCAUCUAAUCGUGCGAGCUAGAAGUGUGACACAGACGUCGGGGUGAUGAAAAAUUGGGGAUGUUUGUCCUCUUCGAAGAAAAGGCGGUUUUGUGGAGAGAGAGAGCGUGAAGAGAGAGUGAGCAGUGUUUUGGGGAAUUAAUGAGUCAUAAUGGACCACAACACAUUAUUGAUUCGUUGAUUGUGUUGAAAAAAUGCCAAAAGAAGAACCUUUCCAAAGGUGAAGCAAAAGAAUUUAGUGUAGUGAAAAACUACGGUGACGAUUUAUCGCGGUGCAUCGAAAUCAAGUGCAAGAUCGUGAAGUGGGGUUGUUUAGGGUAAAAGAAGAAAAACAAGGAAAAAAAUACCAUUGCUCAAUCAAACGUGUGUAGAUUAAACACGACGAGAAAGCUCCGGCGGCUCCACCGCUGUUGUACAACGAAGGCAGCUCGAUCCACCUAAAAGGCAGCAGCUGCAAUUGCGCGGCUUCAGGGCGAUGAAGGUUCGGUGGAAGGCCGUCUAAAAUGCGCUUGGAUCACUUGCUGAAGCGUAAACCAAAAGCCAGA